UACGGGGGGAGCAAGCGUUGUUCGGAUUUACUGGGCGUAAAGGGCGCGUAGGCGGCCAGCACAAGUCAGUUGUGAAAUCUCCGAGCUUAACUCGGAACGGUCAACUGAUACUGUGCGGCUAGAGUGCAGAAGGGGCAACUGGAAUUCUUGGUGUAGCGGUGAAAUGCGUAGAUAUCAAGAGGAACACCUGCGGCGAAGGCGGGUUGCUGGGCUGACACUGACGCUCAUGCACGAAAGCGUGGGGAGCAAACAGG
rnacentral:rRNA from 1 species